GGGCCGUUAGCUCAGCGGUAGAGCAGAGUCCUUACACGACUAAGGUCGCAGGUUCGAAUCCUGCACGGCCCACCA
rnacentral:tRNA from 1 species